UUUGUAUUACGUGCGGAAAUUGUUACCAUUUUCGGCUCGAAAAUGGUAACAAUUCCGCUCGUAAUACAAA
rnacentral:miRNA from 1 species